rnacentral:tRNA from 38 species
GCGGGUGUGGCGAAAUUGGUAGACGCACCAGAUUUAGGUUCUGGCGCCGCGAGGCGUGGGGGUUCAAGUCCCUCCACCCGCACCA